AGGGUUUGAUUCUGGCUCAGGAUGAACGCUGACAGAAUGCUUAACACAUGCAAGUCUACUUGAAUUCUCUUCGGAGAUAGUAAGGUGGCGGACGGGUGAGUAACACGUAAAGAACUUGCCCUGCAGUCUGGGACAACUAUUGGAAACGAUAGCUAAUACCGGAUAUUAUGCGAGAGCCGCAUGGCUCUUUCAUGAAAGCUAUAUGCGCUGCAGGAGAGCUUUGCGUCCCAUUAGUUAGUUGGUGAGGUAACGGCUCACCAAGACCGCGAUGGGUAGCCGGCCUGAGAGGGUGAACGGCCACAAGGGGACUGAGACACGGCCCUU
rnacentral:rRNA from 1 species